UACGGAGGAUGCAAGUGUUAUCCGGAAUCACUGGGCGUAAAGCGUCUGUAGGUGGUUUGCUAAGUCUGCUGUUAAAGCUUGAAGCUCAACUUCAAAAAUGCAGCAGAAAUUAGUAGACUUGAGUAUGGUAGGGGUAGAGGGAAUUUCCAGUGAAGUGGUGAAAUGCGUAGAUAUUGGAAAGACCACCAAUGGCGAAGGCACUCUACUGGGCCAUAACUGACACUGAGAGACGAAAGCUAGGGGAGCAAAUGGG
rnacentral:rRNA from 1 species